rnacentral:rRNA from 1 species
GAUACCCUGGUAGUCCACGCCGUAAACGAUGAGUGCUAAGUGUUAGGGGGUUUCCGCCCCUUAGUGCUGCAGCUAACGCAUUAAGCACUCCGCCUGGGGAGUACGGUCGCAAGACUGAAACUCAAAGGAAUUGACGGGGGCCCGCACAAGCGGUGGAGCAUGUGGUUUAAUUCGAAGCAACGCGAAGAACCUUACCAGGUCUUGACAUCCUCUGACAAUCCUAGAGAUAGGACGUCCCCUUCGGGGGCAGAGUGACAGGUGGUGCAUGGUUGUCGUCAGCUCGUGUCGUGAGAUGUUGGGUUAAGUCCCGCAACGAGCGCAACCCUUGAUCUUAGUUGCCAGCAUUCAGUUGGGCACUCUAAGGUGACUGCCGGUGACAAACCGGAGGAAGGUGGGGAUGACGUCAAAUCAUCAUGCCCCUUAUGACCUGGGCUACACACGUGCUACAAUGGAAAGAACAAAGGGCAGCGAAACCGCGAGGUUAAGCCAAUCCCAAAAAUUUUGUUCUCAGUUCGGAUCGCAGUCUGCAACUCGACUGCGUGAAAGCUGGAAUCGCUAGUAAUCGCGGAUCAGCAUGCCGCGGUGAAAUACGUUCCCGGGCCUUGUACACACCGCCCGUCACACCACGAGAGUUUGUAAC